AUGGCUGAACAUACCAAGAAGGUCGGGUCGUCGGGAAAUAUGGGACCAGCUAUAGUAUCUCCCUCCGGAAGACAGUGAAGAAGACUAAAAGCAGCCAGCACGCCAAGUACACUUGCUCUGUCUAUGGCAAGACCAAGAUGAAGAGGCAAGCUGUUGGCAUCUGGCACUGUGGAUCCUGCAUGAAAACAGUGGCUGGUGGGGCCUGGACCUACAACACCAAUUCUGCAGUCACAGUGAAGUCUCCAUCAGAAGACUCAAGGGACUGAAAGACCAGUAG